rfam:Cephalotus follicularis DNA, scaffold: scaffold4098, isolate: St1.
AAACCAUGAUGAGGACACUCAAAGAGAAGAUCCUUAAAACAUUCCAUACACCCAAAAAAUGUUUCAUUGGGUAUUUGAUGAAACUGAAGAAUGUCGUUCCUAAAUUU